UGUGUGUGUGUGUGUGUGUGUGUGUGUGUGUGUGUGUGUGUGUAGAUCAGACCUGUGAGGAUGCUUCUUGUCCGUUCUCUGGGAUGGUGACCCUGAGGUCACAGACUGAGAUCUGACUCGAGCUGUUUGGAAUUUCCCAGAAUUCCCUGCCUGGACGCGUCGCCUUCACCAACCGUUACUACGGAGGAGACGAGCCACACGCACACCGGGUGCUCUACGUCAACGACAUUUUGUCACGUAACGUGGGGAACAGGACCGAUGGAGGAGAGGAAGCAGAGAGCGUUUUCAUUCGAGACAGCGCUCACUGUGCGGACGUGACGAGAGGAAGAGUCACCGACCGCCGCUCGCUGAAGAACGCCAGACAGGAGAUUGAGAAACAUGUGGAGAGCUGGCUGAAGACGGCCCAACAGGAGAAGAAAAGGACAGAGUGAAGAUAUUUGAUCACAAACAGAUGAAGCAGUGAAUACAGUUAGCUGCUCUUCAUCACCAUCAUCAUCAUCAUCAUAAUUCUAGGUGUAAAGAUGUUUUACAAAAUAUGUUCGAAAGGUUUCCAAAUCAUUCAGUAGUUGUAACAACGCAAUACAUAAAAUGUUAAAUGUGUGCAACAAUAAAAAGUCUAUAAAUAUUUGACUGAAGUAAUUAUAGUGGAAGUGUUAUCGUCUCGUAUCAUCUAGGAUACAAUACCAUUUAUUAAAUCAUUUCCAUUUAUUAAAUAAUUUCCAUUUAUACGUGAUUAUACGAUAUACUAUUGUAUAAUAUCAUAUUUUAUUAUUUAUUUGUAUAUUAUAUCACACUAUAGUAUUAUUGUCUAUGACAUUACAUUAUAUAAAAUGAAUAGCAUAAAUAAUAGCAUUACAAAUAAGUAAAUUAUUAUGUAUUAGUUUAAUCUUAAAUAUAAAGUGUUUGAUUUGUUUAUAUACAUUUAUGAAAGCAGAAGAUAAUCCAUUAUUCUCCUUUUGCCUUUCUUUAUGAAAUUCUGAAUUGUAUGUGUUUGCGUAAUAUAAUAACACUGAUUAUCUCUUGCUUGUUUUAAUCACAAUAUGUUUGAGCUGCCAUAACCCUAUGUUUCCACUAGGGGGCGAUGGUGCUACAUGCGUGCUAACAAGACCCUUUUCUUGACCCUCAUUCUCUGUAAAACACCAGCAAUCAAAACUCACUACACACUGGUUUCAUCGCUUUUUCUUCUACUGUAAUCAAAAGACAGAAUAUGUAUGUGGUACUGAAAACGUUUGCAGAUUCAUUUUAACAUUAAAUUCGAUUUGUUCAAUAGAG